AAAACUUUCAACAACGGAUCUCUUGGUUCUGGCAUCGAUGAAGAACGCAGCGAAAUGCGAUAAGUAAUGCGAAUUGCAGAAUCCGUGAGUCAUCGAAUCUUUGAACGCACAUU
rnacentral:rRNA from 5 species